CAGCCGCCGCGGGAAUACGGAGGGUGCAAGCGUUAAUCGGAAUUACUGGGCGUAAAGCGUGCGUAGGCGGUUCGUUAAGUCUGUUGUGAAAGCCCCGGGCUCAACCUGGGAAUGGCAAUGGAUACUGGCGAGCUAGAGUGUGUCAGAGGAUGGUGGAAUUCCCGGUGUAGCGGUGAAAUGCGUAGAGAUCGGGAGGAACAUCAGUGGCGAAGGCGGCCAUCUGGGACAACACUGACGCUGAGGCACGAAAGCGUGGGGAGCAAACAGGAUUAGAUACCCGUGUAGUCCCUGUCUCUUAUAC
rnacentral:rRNA from 1 species